UCUAUCAAGGAGAAUAGUUACCCCACUGGUCUUAGGCGCCACAACUC
rnacentral:tRNA from 1 species